rnacentral:tRNA from 1 species
GACCGCGUAGCUCAUUGGCAGAGCAUUGGGCUAGUAUUCCAAAGGUCGUAGGUUGGAUUCCCACCGUGGCCA